AGCUCUAAUAGCGUAAAUUAAAGUUGCUGCAGUUAAAAAGCUCGUAGUUGGAUCUCAGGGUACCUGGUCUAGCCGGUAUAGCUCACGCUAAAACUGGUCUGACCCCCUAACAUGAGGUAUUCGUCUCCUUGUGCACUUCAUUGGGUGCUCGUGAGGGGCCUCGUAGUUACUGUGAAAAAAUUAGAGUGUUCAAAGCAGGCUCAUAUGUUCGGAUAGUCGUGCAUGGAAUAACUGAAUACGUGUCUGGCGCUUUUCAGUUGGUCUCGGCGACUGAUCAAAUGAUUAAGAGGGACUGCCGGGGGCAUUGGUAUGGCGGGGUUAGAGGUGAAAUUCUUUGAUCCUCGCCAGACCAACAAAAGCGAAAGCAGUUGCCAAGAGUGUCUUCA
rnacentral:rRNA from 1 species